GCGGAAUGCUUUACACAUGCAAGUCGAGCGGCAGCGCGGGGCAACCUGGCGGCGAGCGGCGAACGGGUGAGUAAUGCAUCGGAACAUGUCCAUGGAUGGGGGAUAGCCCGGCGAAAGCCGGAUUAAUACCGCAUGAGCCCGAGAGGGGAAAGUGGGGGACCGCAAGGCCUCACGUCGAUGGGUUGGCCGAUGCCCGAUUAGCUAGUUGGUGAGGUAAAGGCUUACCAAGGCGAUGAUCGGUAGCUGGUCUGAGAGGAUGAUCAGCCACACUGGGACUGAGACACGGCCCAGACUCCUACGGGAGGCAGCAGUGGGGAAUUUUGGACAAUGGGGGCAACCCUGAUCCAGCCAUUCCGCGUGAGUGAAGAAGGCCUUCGGGUUGUAAAGCUCUUUUGUCCGGAGCGAAACGGUUACGGUGAAUAUCCGUGACUACUGACGGUACCGGAAGAAUAAGCACCGGCUAACUACGUGCCA
rnacentral:rRNA from 1 species